UCAUGGCUAUUGAACCCUUUUUUAGGGUCUUUAUACUCACGUUAUAAAAUUUCAAACGAUUAGGUACACCUUUUUGUGUCACACCAGUUUUGUGAAAAAUUUCCUUAUCAACCGACCCCUCGGUUGCCUCUUUCUCGUCACCUUAACGGAAAAUCCGUAAUUAUAAGAUGAUGUAAUGGGAGUACAAGGGUACCUUUUUCAGGUAUCUGCGGUCAGGUGUCGACCCGGAGAAGCGACGGUACGGUAAUUGAGGACACCCUAUUAUCACAAAAUCUUAAUCAUCAUAAAAUCCCCAAAUUCUAAUAAUCAAUUUUGAAAUUUAACCCUUUGACCUAUAACCACGAGUCUGACUCAUGGCAAAGUCGCGCAAUUGGCAUAUAUCGUAUAGGCCAAGGGGUUAAUAAUCAACUAUGUAUUAGACAUUUUGACGACCAUACGUCAAAAAUGUGUAAUACAUAGUGGAUUAAUAAAUUUUAAUAAAAUCCUAAUCAUCAUAAAAUCCCCAAAUUCUAAUAAUCAAUUUUGAAAUUUUUUAAUCAACUAUGUAUUAGACAUUUUUGACGUAUAUCGUCAACGACAUGACAAGCGAGCAGGGUCGGUAAGCGUAGGUAAGCCACCACCGUCAACACUCACAUGGUAUUACCAUCACGAGUACAUGAGGCAGGGUUGCGCGAUCGUGUCUUGUGCUGCUCCCCGGUGCGGGAUGUUGACGGCUAAUGCACUUGCCACCUUUUACCUCUCAGUAGUGGCGCAACUCAUCUCUGUCAGAAAUGAGUUACUCCUGUAUAUAGCGACCCCUGUCAGCGAUUCAGCUCUCGGAUUGGGCGAGGCCGAGCCCACUUUUUCGACACAGAGAGUUCCAAGGACUAGCUGAAGCAGGGGCAUAAUCUUCAGAGAUGAGAGGUCUGCUAAAACAGCCUGAAAGCAAAUUUCAACUUUUCUAGAAGCUUCAUGUAAUACUUGGCAACGAUUCGAUAUUUUUGCUACGUCCUGAAUGUUCUACAUUAAUGACGCGGAUGGUCACGGCAAGGAGGGGUAUAAUUUCCAAGGAAUCAUAUCCGAGUACCAAAUCCCACAAGUACAGUAAUUGUUCUGGAGGUAAGUGGCCACUGAAGCCUCGCAUCAGCCACUUGAACACAACUUUAAUUCUGCAUGCAAGGAAUGUAAAUAGAACACAUAUUCAGACCUACGUCACACGAUGUUUUGCUAUAAUAGCAUAUAAUUGACUCACGGCUGUAUAUGCAAAUUUCUGAAGUAAGCCCACAAUUGUGGCUCGUGGCACUGUAGCAAUCUUUCGAAAAGCAAACACAGUGCCACUAUUCCUUGCUCGUGACUGGAGACCGUGUGAAGACGAAACCAAUAACGUAGAUAAAACGCCCUAAAUGUGUAAUACAUAAUGCAUGGAUCGUCGUACAGGUAGCAGAAUGGAGUUGCUGUAAAUGACGAUUCCAUAUGAAUAUUGUAGAAAAUUUCAUGAUUUUUAUAACAAUUAAAAUUCCCCACUUCUGGCAAGCUUACCAUACAUAGUGAAACCAUGAAAAGGAAUGACUCCACUGGGAGGAAACACAACAGUAUUUUCCAGCGUAGCAGGCUUUCCCUGAAGAACGGCAUGAAUGACCUGACCCCCUGCACUUCUGUCCGUCGUCACAGGAGCCAGAACCUCAGAGUCUCUCGAGAAACAUAGCAUCGUCUUAUAUAAAACAUCUUCGAAGACAAAAUACUGGUCAUCGUUACUCGCAGUUAACUGGACAUCCUGAAAAUAUUAUUUUUGAGGAAAUUCUUGUGUUUUGGAGAUGUAUGGGAGAAGAAAAAAAAAUUCGUACAUUAUCCUUAACAACCGAACCCAAGACCAAGGACCAAAGUCGUCCUCUGAGAGCUCUGGGGCUUCCACGUUUCAAGAAUUCCUGUGCAAUG